CCACGCUGCACCUGACCUCUCCGAUGGCCCCCGCCGCCCGCGGCCGCCUGCGGACCUGCGCUCCGCCGCCGUUUGCGAGGCCCGGCGCUCUGCCGCUGCCGCCUGCACGCGGUCCUCCCCAAACCCUAGUCUCUUUUGUUUCCCCAGCAUCUUCAUUGCCGCCGUCACUGCUUCCUUCCAGGACGCCGGUCGCCGUCGAAAUUCGUCAUAUCCGGUCAGCCUCCUUCGAUUCAUCGCGGCCAUACCUUCACCUUUCCGUCCGCGGCCUAUUUGAGCCCUCACCCGCUCGACUUCUCCGCCGCACAGCGCUCCCGGCGACCACCUCCGCCAUCCCGAGGAUCUCCUUGGCCCCAGCGCCAACGGUGGGUCGUCGGCGAUGGGCAGAGCGGUCAAACACGCCCACGGGCGGGUCCUUCCCCAUGAGCGGCUUCUUUUUCAAGGCUUCGCCUCAAGGGCCGCAGACGCUGACCUCUCCUCACCGUGUGCCUCUAGCGUCACCGUUCGUCUUCUCAGCAUGACGUCCGCCGUGGCUGGCGGGACUCGGAAGCAAGAAGCGGCAACGGCCGAACGUCCACGUCAAGUUGGCCUCACGCUAGCUGCAUGAGACUCCGGCAAUGGGAAGAAGAGACAUCGCCGCCGCAGAAGCUCGCCAAGACGAACUCAUCUGACAACAACGAGUCCUCCCGCUCGGGCAACAUUUCCAGAUGGUGCUUUUUGUUCAUUACUUUGCUGGCCAAGGCGGCCAACUGACCAAUCAGGUGAGUGCAAACAAAUCAGAUGUGUUAUUUCGGUCACCUCGAAGCUGCAGGCGGUAUGCACAUGGAUAGAUAUCAUUGACAUAGGGUUAGUGGACGCCCUCUGAAGGCUGUAUGUACCCUUUGCAAAUUAUCUGUCUAAUUUUAGACAAGAAAAAGGCAAAGGCUAUUUCUAAUUGCGGAUUCUCACUGGCUUAUAUUGUUGACACAAAGUUCAUACACAAUGACAUUGAUUCUUGUGGAGUGAAGACGAGGCAGCAUCUGGGAAGGUGAAGCUGAUGGAGGGAGGGCGAUGUGGUGGAAGGAUCUCUCAUCGGCGGAGGCGUUCGUGGGGGCGGCGCCCAGAAGUCCAGGACGUCUGCAUCAUCUGCCUUGAGACCUUCUCCAGCAGCAACCCCUCUGUGGUACUGCUCCCUGCUUCCCUGCAGCCGUACUGAAGGAGAUGGAACUUCGAUUUGGGUUAUGCCUUGCUAGGGCUCUUUAGCAUGCUUGCUCUUUCUUGCUUGUGCUUGGCACAGGUGACCAUCUGCAAACACACUGUCCGCCUCCAGGGCAUCCUUCAGUGGUUGCGUGGCUGGCUCAUUUGAAUAAUUUAGUCCACUAAACUACAUAUACAUGGAGGUGAUGCGAACAGAGAACAUAGUGGCAGAGGACUUGAGAAUAAGACCACUCUCCCCCAACAGUACUGAGCGGGCGAAAAAGGUGAAGUGCGAGGAUUCCGCCGGCCCUCCUCCUCUCCGGGGGCCGUUCCGGUGCCGGAGAGGGAGGGUGACGGGGGAAUCGACGUGCGGACUAGUAUAGGAUAGGUAGCUUAUCUAGUCCUAGGGUUUGCUCAUCGCCGGUGAUGGAGGCAGAGCUAGGGUUUCCCUGCAGCGCUUGGAUGAGGAAGCCGGCAUCACCUUUGUGGAAUAAGGUACUCCAGACUUCUCUCUCCUUCGCCGGCGUGUGCUCUGGUGCUGGUGUCGGGUCUAGGAGUUCGCCUUGUACAGGAGUUCACCGCUGGCCGAGCUUUUUGCCGAUUUAGCACUUCAAACGUUAGGCUUCUCCGAUUUACCAUGGCAAACAAUGGAUUCGCCAAUUUACCACUCCAAAUGUCAUCCCUUUUUCUAUAGCCAUUGUGACCAGUUUACCCCUAGCCCCACCCGUCAUUAUCCUUCUUAUUCAUCUCCCCCAACUCUUCUCCAUGAUAGAACAAAUGUGCAUACCCGGCAGCCAUGGCACGCACGAGGCAGCGGCAGCUGCGCUCGACCUCAAACCUCAGGAGCCUCUUCUCCUUCCUCUCCCACUGCUUUUUUGGCUGCGUCCCGUACACCGCCCGCUGCCCAGCGGUUUGGACGUCCGGUACAGGGUGGCGACAGUGGUAGUCGUCACCGACGCCGACGUGCAGGAGGCCAUGGACCAGGUGCUCACGCUCGACGCGGCGUACCCGCUACCGCUGCUCCCCGGGAUGCUGGAGGAGUCCCCGAGAGCGACUUCGGCAGGGCGACAGCGAGCUCGCAAGGAGUGGCGGGGAGCUGCAGUGGGCUCACAGAUGAGCCGCGGCCGGGCGACGGCGGGCUCGCGGCUGAGAGGUGGCUAGGUGACGGCAGGCUUGAUAACGCACGGCGGGAUGUGAGGAAGAAGAAGGAUAUGACAGGUGGGGACAGGGUUAAACUGGUCACAAUGGCUAGAUAAGCAAAGGGACGACGUUUUGAGUGGUAAAUUGGCAAAUCCAUUGUUUGUGAUGGUAAAUCGGAGAAGCCUAAUGUUUGAAGUGCUAAAUCGGUAAAAAGCUCCCGCUGGCCGGAGUCAGUGGUGGUUUUGGUUCUUCUUUCUUUGUCUUUGUUGGGUUCACUAUCUGGCUCUUUUGUGUUGCUAAUGCGGCGGACUGCGGCGACGGGGCGCGAGGAGGCAAGUGGUUGCUCCAGUUUGGUGGAUCCAACGGCUGAUGGGCUCCUACCGAGGAUUUCUUGCAGUCUUUCAAUUCGUGUCCGAUCCUCGAUCUGGGUGGUUGCGGAAGGUGGUUUAUCGCUGUACUGUGUUGUGCUGCGAACGGAAGAUCGUCGGCUUCCAGUUCUAAUGAAGAUGAAGAACAGUAGCUGUAGUUUGGGCCUUGUUGUAAUUUUGUGUUUCAUCAGGGUCCUUUCGGCAAGGAAGGGAUGUACUUUGCAUACCUUCAGCUAAUACAUGGAUGCAUCCUUUUUCUCGCAAAAAGAAAAAAGAGCGGCAGAGGAGCAUACUGGAGAGAGAAGUGACUAACUGAUGGCUCAAUUUCGAUGGAGCUCGUCAAUAUAGCGCCAUACACCUAUUCACUUCUCCGCCAACAAUUAUCCUCCUACCAUCUAGUGAGAUGUUGCACUUUUGUAUUAUGCUUAUUAUCUUCCCUUAAGGGUUCAUGUUACUGUUAA